rnacentral:rRNA from 1 species
AGUGAACGCUGGCGGUAGGCCUAACACAUGCAAGUCGAACGGCAGCACAGUAAGAGCUUGCUCUUACGGGUGGCGAGUGGCGGACGGGUGAGGAAUACAUCGGAAUCUACUUUUUCGUGGGGGAUAACGUAGGGAAACUUACGCUAAUACCGCAUACGACCUACGGGUGAAAGCAGGGGAUCUUCGGACCUUGCGCGAUUGAAUGAGCCGAUGUCGGAUUAGCUAGUUGGCGGGGUAAAGGCCCACCAAGGCGACGAUCCGUAGCUGGUCUGAGAGGAUGAUCAGCCACACUGGAACUGAGACACAGUCCAGACUCCUACGGGAGGCAGCAGUGGGAAUAUUGGACAAUGGGCGCAAGCCUGAUCCAGCCAUACCGCGUGGGUGAAGAAGGCCUUCGGGUUGUAAAGCCCUUUUGUUGGGAAAGAAAAGCAGCAGGUUAAUACCCCGCUGUUCUGACGGUACCCAAAGAAUAAGCACCGGCUAACUUCGUG